UGCAGUCGAACGCAGUAGCAAUACUGAGUGGCAAACGGGUGAGUAUAAUGUGGGAAUCUGCCUUUUGGUUUGGAAUAACACGAGGAAACUUGUGCUAAUACCGGAUAAGCCCUUACGGGGAAAGUUUUAAUGCCAAAAGAUGAGCCCGCACUUGAUUAGCUAGUUGGUAAGGUAAAAGCUUACCAAGGCAACGAUCAAUAGCUGUUCUUAGAGGAAGACCAGCCACAUUGGGACUGAGACACGGCCCAAACUCCUACGGGAGGCAGCAGUGGGGAAUCUUGCACAAUGGGGGAAACCCUGAUGCAGCGAUGCCGCGUGAGUGAAGAAGGCCUUUGGGUUGUAAAACUCUUUCGUCGGGGAAGAAAAUGACUGUACCCGAAUAAGAAGGUCCGGCUAACUUCGUGCCAGCAGCCGCGGUAAUACGAAGGGACCUAGCGUAGUUCGGAAUUACUGGGCUUAAAGAGCUCGUAGGUGGUUAAAAAAGUUGAUAGUGAAAUCCCAAGGCUUAACCUUGGAACUGCUAUCAAAACUUUUUAGCUAGAGUAUGAUAGAGGUAAGUGGAAUUUCUAGUGUAGAGGUGAAAUUCGUAGAUAUUA
rnacentral:rRNA from 1 species